AAUGAACGCUGGCGGCAGGCCUAACACAUGCAAGUCGAGCGAAGUCUUCGGACUUAGCGGCGGACGGGUGAGUAACGCGUGGGAACAUGCCCUUUGGUGCGGAAUAGCCCCGGGAAACUGGGCGUAAUACCGCAUGUGCCCUUCGGGGGAAAGAUUUAUGGCCACAGGAUUGGCCCGCGUUGGAUUCGGUAGUUGGUGGGGUAAUGGCCUACCAAGCCGACGAUGCAUAGCUGGUUUGAGAGGAUGAUCAGCCACACUGGGACUGAGACACGGCCCAGAAUCCUACGGGAGGCAGGAGUGGGGAAUCUUAGACGAUGGGGGCAAGCCUGAUAGAGCCAUGCCGGGUGAGCGAUGAAGGCCGUAGGGUUGUAAAGAUCUUUCAGUGGGGAAGAUAAUGACGGUACCCACAGAAGAAGCCCCGGCUAACUCCGUG
rnacentral:rRNA from 1 species